rnacentral:rRNA from 1 species
UACGGGGGGGGCAAGCGUUGUUCGGAAUUACUGGGCGUAAAGGGCUCGUAGGUGGCCAACUAAGUCGGACGUGAAAUCCCUCAGCUUAACUGGGGAACUGCGUCCGAUACUGGAUGGCUCGAGUUUGGGAGAGGGAUGCGGAAUUCCAGGUGUAGCGGUGAAAUGCGUAGAUAUCUGGAGGAACACCGGUGGCGAAGGCGGAUCUCUGGGCCGAUACUGACGCUGAGGAGCGAAAGCGUGGGGAGCGAACAGG